UUCCCACGCCGGAGUAGGACCCGGGCCGACUGGGUGAGAGCCAGGAAUCCUGACCGCUAGACCACAUGGGA
rnacentral:tRNA from 1 species